AUGGCACCCACAAAGAGAGAGAUAGGCAAAGCAAAAAUUGGGAAAAGUGCUUAUGUUCAAGCUUCAGAGUCUUCUGAUUUUGAAACAGUGAAACCAACCCUCAAGCAGACAAGAUUGCUCUUCUCCUUCAGGAAUCGCUCUCUAACUCCACCCAAAUAUGAUUCUUUCAAUCAAGGAUCAAGUGGGAGUUAUCUUUGUUAG